UAAAGUACAAGAGUUUAAUCCAGCAACUUUCAAACUAUGAUCUGAAGUCAGGU
rnacentral:rRNA from 1 species